rnacentral:rRNA from 1 species
UACAGAGGGUGCAAGCGUUGUUCGGAAUUAUUGGGCGUAAAGGGAGUGUAGGCGGUCUUUUAAGUCUUCUGUGAAAUCUACGGGCUUAGCCUGUAACGUGCAGAGGAAACUGGAAGGCUUGAGUGUCGGAGAGGAUAGGGGAAUUCCCGGUGUAGAGGUGAAAUUCGUAGAGAUCGGGAGGAACACCAGUGGCGAAGGCGCCUAUCUGGCUGACAACUGACGCUGAGACUCGAAAGCAUGGGGAGCAAACAGG